GAUUCGCAAGAGGCGAGGAAAAUAGCUAUGCUACCAGGGACCAUUACGAUGGUCUAUUAGUAUUUUCUAAAGACUUCAUUUAGUUACCAUGGAAAAGUAUUGUGACACUGAAGCACAUGGCUGCAGCUUGCAGUUGUUCCAGAUGUUGAAGAAAAAUCUAGAAGAUGCCACAUAAAACAGCACAGAAGUCGAAGACAUGACAAAAAAAAUAUCCUAUAUGAUACCAGGAACAUUCGCAAUAAGACAGGGAGAGAUGCUGGAAGAAAAAGGAGAAAGGAGAAGUGAAAUCUAUCUCUGAGCUGACAAAGCCAGAAAAAAGAAGCAAGAGAAGGCAAUGGAAAUGCAACCAACGGAAUAGAAGACAGGCAGGCUUGAAAGAGAGCAGUUGCAAUGGAGACCUACCUAUCAGGCAUGCAACACAACACCUCAGUCACCACAUGACUUGCAGCCAGAACAUGAGGCCAACAUACCUGCCCCUGAUGCACACCCUGAUACCCCUUCCUCAUCGUCUGCAACAGGAAUGAGAAGUCAAAUACUUGCUGGAAGUAAAAAGGUUUGAAGGGGUCAUCCAAAAACAUACACAGAUCUUUGCAUGACAAUGUCAAACUUGAUAAUGCAUUACAGAAAGCUGAGAAAAACUGAUGAAGAAAAUGGGUUGAAAGAUUCCCCAAAGACAACAAGAAAGGGAACUGAAGGGAACUCCAAAGAACUUGAGAUGGACUUUAUUUUAUUGUUUCAAAAUGCCAUCAUUGCAGAGUUAAAGCAAAAAUAUUUAAAAAAUGUGCAUUGCCAAGGACAAACAACUGGCUUAAAAAAUGCUUAGAGGCAACAUCCUGAGAAAAUAUGGCCUGGUCAAAGCCGCAAACGGAUCAUUUGAAUUUUCAGCAAAAGCAAUGAGGGCAAAUGAAAACAGGUCAACAAGUCUUCAAUACUCCAGGAAAAAGCAGUGUAACAUAAUUAGCACAGCCACAGAAGAGAAAAUCACUUGAUUUUAUGAACGCGAUGACAACAGUAGAGCAACAAAAGGGGAAAAGGACACACUAGGAAGAAAAAAUAAGAAAAAGCAGAAGCGCUUCUUUAAUGGCAUAAUUCAGAACCUUUUCCUACUAUGCAUUCUGCAAAAUACGUCCUUUUUGGGUUGUCAAGCUAAUAGUCCAGGAUAGGGACACAUGCCUCUGCAAAACCUACGGCAACCUCCAGUUCAUGGCGGACAAACUACAGUAUCACAGCAGUCGGCUGUUAUAUAUCUCAAAGGCGAUAAAGAGCAUGGAGGCCCUCCCACCAGAUCACCUGGAGACAAUCUGUAGGACAAUGAAGAUACACCAGAUCGUCAGCGACAGUCCCGAGGAUACUCAGUUGCUUCUGUUCCUUUCCACAUCACUGCACUCCACAGACUGACUCUGUUUGAAAAAAUAGAGGCAGACCAAGAUGGAAAAUCCAACACAUCUCACAGUGCAUUCCAGCCCGUUGAAGAUCUAAGUGAAGCAUUGAUUGGAAAGUGGUGUGGGGUGGAGUGUGAUCAGGACGUUUACCCUGGCAUCGUGCAAGACGUUCACACAGAGAGUGGUGCUCUUGUUAAAACCAUGAGUCGCGUUGGCCCCAACCGUUUUUUGGGGGGCCGAUGAGUGACAACAUCAUAUGGUACAGACCACAGCAUGUGCUUGGACCUGAACCCGACCUCGUGACCAAGAGGUACAUGGAGCUGGAUGGUUGGUCUGAGAGGAACGUGGCCCUAUUUCUAAGCCUUAGAUACUCAUAUACAGUACAAAGCAGGACAUAAAAUCAUGCAUUAAAUAAAACAUGUGCAGCUCUCAAUUAACUUUUCCCUCAAUAUAUAGGUGCUGGAAGUUCUAGUUGUUGCAUCUAAGUGUAGUCAAAGACCAAACAUUGUUCUUAUGUUAAAAAGGUGCUAGUUCCAGUGUUUUAGAAUCUUACUUUGUCUUUUAUUAUUUAAAUGUUUAAACAAUGGUUGUGGUUCAAAAUGUUAGCAAUAAAAUAUUGUUUUCCUACGUUAAUUUUUUUACAUAGACCACAACACAUAUUUCUGAAUAAAUGAGUAUAUGUAUAAUUUACAUUGAUUGAUCAUUUACAUUGAUUGAUUUGUUUUAGAUAGGGAAAUCAUAUGGUUGUUAACAUAAUCUCACAAAAAGGUUGGGUGGAAAUAUCUUAUUUUUCAUAAAUGUUUUCAGCUGUCACCAAGGCGAGUUUAUACAUUCAGGCGUCGUGUUGAAUUAUUCAUUUUAGGAAAACCUUAAUCACUAAAAAUCAUAUUCAAUACAAGUUCAUGUACACAUAAGAAAUGUAUUAAAUGAAAUGAACUUAUUUUUAACUAAAAUGGAUGAUUAAUGAUGCAAAUUACAUUUGUCUGGCUGUCUGGGAAAAAUGACAAAAAUAGUACAAAUG